UACAGAGGGGGCUAGCGUUGUUCGGAAUUACUGGGCGUAAAGGGCGCGUAGGUGGCCUGUUAAGUCGAACGUGAAAUCCCCCGGGCUCAACCCGGGAACUGCGUCCGAGACUGGCAGGCUCGAAUCCGGGAGAGGGAUGUGGAAUUCCCGGUGUAGCGGUGAAAUGCGCAGAUAUCGGGAGGAACACCAAUGGCGAAGGCAGCUCGCUGGGACGGUACUGACGCUGAGACGCGAAAGCGUGGGGAGCAAACAGG
rnacentral:rRNA from 1 species